AUGGCCAUACCAUGCUGAAUAUACCGGUUGUCGUUAGAUCACCGAAGUCACGCAACGUUGGGCGUGGUCAGUACUUGGGUGGGUGACCACUUGGAAACACCGCGU
rnacentral:rRNA from 1 species